rnacentral:lncRNA from 1 species
AUGAAUUCAUGCACAGUUGAAAAACUACCCCCCCUCCUUAGACAUGCCAGGACCGAUCUGGAUGAUCAAACUGUGCACGCACAUGUGCACAUAGACUCUUUGAGCAGGUAUAUAAAUGAGUUCCUCCUCUCCCAAACAAUAAUUCCAAGCGAACAGAAGGAACAAGCCGCCAUUAUGAACAAGAUCGUAGGUGCGACGCUCAUGCUCAUCAUUCUGAUCAACAACCUUUGGCCCAGCGCAGAAUCGAUACUCCAAAAACAUGAUGGGAAAAUGGCCAGGGAAAUCCACAAAUGCAGAUGCAAACAAGCCCGUAACGGUAGACUGAGGUGUCUGCGCCCACUGAAAACCCAAACUAAAAAAGAGAGAAUGGACCUGUUCCACUGCCUUUGCAAAAGACAACUACGUGAGUUCUGCCAACCAACCUUGCCUGUAGCGAUCCCCCUGUGAUAAACAGGAUCCCGAGGAGAGCUGCAGAGUGAAGGAUGUUGUACAUACUGUAUCACCUAAAGGCACAGCAUGACAUACUAUAGCAGGAAUGUGAAAUAUUAUGCACC